rnacentral:lncRNA from 1 species
GCCUGAGUAUAAAGCCUGGUGAGGAACAUCUCGAGCUGUAACAUCAACACUAUAACACGAGAAUGUCGUUUCACAGCAGAAAUCACACUGGGAAUCACGCCAGAUGACAGUAAGUUUUGUCUGGAGCUUUAAGGGAAGUACUAAAAACUUUAACCCUUCCCUGCACAACAUUUGAACUGGUGUUAAAAAAAUCAGCCAGGGCACUGUGAUGUUAUAAAUGCUGCCCUGUUUAUGUUACAAAAUAAUUUAAGUGUGUCCAAAACGCGUUACUGGCUUUUAUCUGGUAAGAUUAAUAGCCUACAUAAUGAUGUAGUAAGUUGUAAAAAUGUUAACAUGUUUAGUGUUUUGAGUAAAGAACAUUUGUUGUGACAAUAUGUUUCUAAAUAACAUUUUAGUUUAACUACAAUCACUAUAAUCUUCUGUCAGUGGUUCUCAAACUUUUUUCAUCAAGUACCACCUCAGAAAAUAAUUGUCUCUCCAAGUACCACUAUGAUGAGCAGUAUUGAAAUACAGUAGCGUAGUAGGCCCAGUAAAGCAGCAACAGCUCUGUUCUGUUCAAAAACCAGCCAGAUUAAUUCCUAAUAUUAAGAAUAUGUAUUAAUGUUAGCCACUUUAAACAUGAUAGUUUGAACAUUAACACUGUACUGUGCUUAUA